GACGAACGCUGGCGGCGUGCUUAACACAUGCAAGUCGAACGGUGAAGAAGAGCUUGCUCUUCGGAUUAGUGGCGAACGGGUGAGUAACACGUGACUAACCUGCCCCUUUCUCUGGGAUAACGCUCCGAAAGGAGUGCUAAUACCGGAUACUCACAUCGAGGCACAUGCCUUGAUGUGGAAAGUUUUUCGGAAAGGGAUGGAGUCGCGGCCUAUCAGCUUGUUGGUGAGGUAACGGCUCACCAAGGCGACGACGGGUAGCCGGCCUGAGAGGGCGAACGGCCACACUGGGACUGAGACACGGCCCAGACUACUACGGGAGGCAGCAGUGGGGAAUAUUGUACAAUGGGCGAAAGCCUGAUGCAGCGGCGCCGCGUGAGGGAUGAAGGUCUUCGGAUUGUAAACCUCUUUCAGUAGGGACGAAGCGAAAGUGACGGUACCUAAAGAAGAAGCACCGGCUAACUACGUGCCAGCAGCCGCAGUAA
rnacentral:rRNA from 1 species